rnacentral:rRNA from 1 species
GGGCUCGCACAAGCGGUGGAGCAUGUGGUUCAAUUCGAUGCAACGCGAAGAACCUUACCCGGGCUUGAAGUGGAGGUGGUAGGAGCCGGAAACGGCAACGACCCCGAAAGGGGAGCCUUCAUCAGGUGUUGCAUGGCUGUCGUCAGCUCGUGUCGUGAGAUGUUAGCUUAAGUGCUGUAACGAGCGAAACCCUUGCUGUUAGUUGCAAACCCGAAAGGGUGCACUCUAGCAGGACUGCCCGUGCUGAAUGGGAGGAAGGCGGGGACGACGUCAAGUCAUCAUGGCCCUUAUGUCCGGGGCAACACACGUGCUACAAUGGCCGGUACAAAGGGUUGCCAACGCGCGAGCGGGAGCCAAUCUCAAAAAACCGGCCUCAGUACGGAUCGGAGGCUGCAACUCGCCUCCGUGAAGCUGGAAUCGCUAGUAAUCGCGGAUCAGCCACGCCGCGGUGAAUAUGUUCCCGAGCCUU